rnacentral:rRNA from 1 species
UACAGAGGGGGCAAGCGUUGUUCGGAAUUACUGGGCGUAAAGGGCGCGUAGGCGGCCCGCUAAGUCGAACGUGAAAUCCCCGAGCUCAACUCGGGAACUGCGUCCGAUACUGGUGGGCUUGAAUCCGGGAGAGGGAUGCAGAAUUCCAGGUGUAGCGGUGAAAUGCGUAGAUAUCUGGAGGAAUACCGGUGGCGAAGGCGGGUCUCUGGGCCGAUACUGACGCUGAGGAGCGAAAGCGUGGGGAGCGAACAGG